AGCAAGGAGAUGGUUAUUUAUGAACCAGGAAGCCAGCUCGCAAGCAGGCAGUGAGUCUGCUGGUACUUUGAUCCUGGACUUCCCGGCCUCUAGAAUUGUGAGAAAUCCUGGGCACGCUCCAGAUCCACUGAAUCAGAAUUUAUGGGGUGGAACCCAGAAGUCCAUGUUUGCAAAAGCUCUGCAGCCUAAUGCAGGGGAGAGGGACAAUGGACCAAGGCUGAACAGGGUCAGCAGAGAACGUCACAACCUCCUUUCAAUCAAUAUACACAAAGACCCUGCUUUGCCAUUCACUGUUACCUCUGGGUCCCGCCAAAACCCUUGGAUCUGAUGCUACCCCAGUGAUGCACGAGGCAGGAACCCGGACGUGUGGGCUCUGGAUGCAGGUGGCACCUGCGGCGACACCCUUCCCACGGCCACUAAGGGAGACCAGAACCUGAGCUGUUGGUGGCUUUAUCUGCCAGCUUUAAGCACCACCAGGAGAGGAAGGGACUCCUGCCCCUCGAGUCUGAGCAGUCACGGCUGCUAGGCCCCUCACCUGGCGAGGAAGACAAGGACGCAGGAGCAGGGCUGUCCUCUGA